rnacentral:rRNA from 1 species
UUACGGCCAUAUCACGUUGAAACACCGUUUACCGUACGAUCACCGAAAUUAAGCAACAUCGAGCCUGGUCAGUACGUUGAUGGGUGACCGCUUG